AUGGUGGGUGAAAAGGUUGAGAAGCCAGAUCCUAAAGAGAAGAAACCAGAAGCCAAGAAGGCUGAUGCUGGUGGCAAGGUAAAAAGGGGCAGCCUCAAGACUAAAAAGCCCAAGAGGGAGAAGCCCCAUUGCAGCUGAAAUCCUGUCUUUGUCAGAGGAAUUGGCAGGUAUUCCCAAUCAGCCAUGUAUUCCAGAAAGGCCAUGUACAAGAGGAAGCACUCAGCUGCUGAAUCCAAGGUUGAAAAGAAAAAGAAGUUCUUGCAACUAUUACAAAACCAGUUGGUGGUGACAAGAACGGUGGUACCCAGGUGGUUAAACAUCGCAAAAUGCCUAGAUAUUAUCCUACUGAAGAUGUGCCUCAAAAGCUGUUGAGCCACGGCAAAAAAACCGUUCAGUCAGCACAUGAGAAAACUGUGAGCCAGCAUCACCCCUGGGACCAUUCUGAUCACCCUCACUGAGCACCACAGAGGCAAAAGGGUGGUUUUCCUGAAGCUGCUGGCUAGUGGCUUGUUACUUGUGACUGGACCUCCGGUCUUCAACCAAGAUCCUCUACAAAGAACACGCCAGAAAUCUGUCACUGCCACCUCAACCAAAAUUGAUAAUCAGCAAUGUAAAAAUCCCAAAACAUCCUGCUGACGCUUACUUCAAGAAGCAGCAGCUGUGGAAGCCCAGAAACAGGAAGGUGAGAUCUUCAACACAGAAAAAGAGAACUACGAGAUUACAGAGCAGCACCAAAUCGAUCAGAAAGCUGUGGACUCACAAAUUUUACCAAAAAUCAAAGCUAUUCCUCAGCUCCAGGGCUACCUGUGAUCUGUGUUUGCCCUGAUGAAUGGAAUCUAUCCUCACAAAUUGGUGUUCUGA
rnacentral:lncRNA from 1 species